rnacentral:misc_RNA from 1 species
GAUGAAGAACGUAGUGAAAUGCGAUAAGUAGUGUGAAUUGCAGAAUUCAGUGAAUCAUCGAAUCUUUGAACGCACAUUGCGCCCCUCGGUAUUCCGUGGGGCACGCCUGUUCGAGCGUCAUUUACACCCUCAAGCGCAGCUUGGUGUUGGGCGUCUGUCCCGCUCUCCGUAGCGCGGACUCGCCUCAAAGUCAUUGGCGGCGGUCGUGCCGGCUCCUCGCGCAGCACAUUUGCGCUUCUCGGAGGCCCGGCGGAUCGGCAUCCAGCAAGCUACUUUUUAUGACUUGACCUCGGAUCAGGUGAGGAUACCCGCUGAACUUAAGCAUAUCAAUAAGCGGAGGA